UUGAAUAGUGCCAUGAUAAAGGAUAAACACUUCUUAUCAAGAAUUUCUCCACUCUUAGGACUUAAACCUCGACAUCUUAUUGAGGUGGAAGAAAUUUCUACUACAUCUUAUUUUGUCCUUAAAUGGUUCUAUUUUUGGAGUUACCACUUGGUCAGUGUGUAAAGCGCAAAAAAGGCAAUAGUUCCUCCGCAAGUGUUGCAGGAAGAAGCCGAUAAAGACAUUUACAUGCUAAGAUCCGUUGUCUCAGAGAUUAUUAAGUGGGGCAAACGAAGUAAGGACGUAACUACAUGGAAUCAGAAUCAAAGCUAGGAACCUCUCGUACUGAGGCCCGAGCAAAGCGCUUACCACCGGAGCCAUCUAGACCCCACCCCCCCAAAUCCGGUACGAGCUCUAAGACCCCGAAAAGCGUUACCAAACGGUUGCACACGACUAACAAAGGGCCGUGAUAUCCGUGUCCAACCGGAUAUCACGGCGUGGAUCUCGGCCCGUAUCGACAGCAGAUCAGUGAUUAACGAAAAAGAAAUUUUUUACCUUUCUUAGAUUGUACUAGG